AUACUAGACCGUGCAUUUACGGAAAUUAUUUAUUCUCAUGCAUUUGUGUUGUCUAUUGCUACACUUGGGACUUUGUUUUUUGUUUGUUGCAGUUUUGGUAUAAUAAGAUGGCCGGAGGAACAAUUUUCAUCUGUGUUCGCGAGUAUUAAGUUUUCCUUCUUGAUUCGACAGUGGGAAAUAAAUGAAAAUAGCCGUGAUUAAACUAAUAGAGUUCUGAGAUUGUGUGAGAAACGCCGGAUACACUUUUCGCCGUCCGGAAGGGCAAUUUAUUGACCAAACUAGAGUCAGAUUCCUCCUGGAGGAGGAUGAUAUUGAUAGCGACGAAAAGGCAUGGAUAUUUUUUCAUUCAGCAUCCGGCAAAACACUCAUGAGGCAGAUCAUCCGUAAGGGAUCUUAAAAUGGACAGCAAACGAGAUGAACGAUAUGCCGGAACAAAGGAAUCCGGAAAACACAGCGGGAAGAUGAGGAGUGUCCAUGUAUGGGAGUGCACAUUUAUAAUUAGUGUUAUCUACAGUGAAUGACAUGUUAAUUUAAUCAUGACCAUAUUGAUUGAUUCAAUAAAUGGGA